rnacentral:rRNA from 1 species
AACGAACGCUGGCGGCAUGCCUAACACAUGCAAGUCGAACGAGAUCUUCGGGUCUAGUGGCGCACGGGUGCGUAACGCGUGGGAAUCUGCCCUCAGGUUCGGAAUAACCAUUGGAAACGAUGGCUAAUACCGGAUGAUGACGUUAAGUCCAAAGAUUUAUCGCCUGAGGAUGAGCCCGCGUAGGAUUAGCUAGUUGGUGUGGUAAAGGCGCACCAAGGCGACGUUCCUUAGCUGGUCUGGGAGGAUGAUCAGCCACACUGGGACUGAGACACGGCCCAGACUCCUACGGGAGGCAGCAGUGGGGAAUAUUGGACAAUGGGCGAAAGCCUGAUCCAGCAAUGCCGCGUGAGUGAUGAAGGCCUUAGGGUUGUAAAGCUCUUUUACCCGGGAUGAUAAUGACAGUACCGGGAGAAUAAGCUCCGGCUAACUCCGUG